rnacentral:rRNA from 1 species
CGACCGGCGCACGGGUGAGUAACGCGUAUCCAACCUUCCGUACACUCAGGGAUAGCCUUUCGAAAGAAAGAUUAAUACCUGAUGGUAUGAUGAGAUUGCAUGAUAGCAUCAUUAAAGAUUUAUCGGUGUACGAUGGGGAUGCGUUCCAUUAGGUAGUAGGCGGGGUAACGGCCCACCUAGCCAACGAUGGAUAGGGGUUCUGAGAGGAAGGUCCCCCACAUUGGAACUGAGACACGGUCCAA